rnacentral:rRNA from 1 species
GAUGAACGCUGGCGGCGUGCCUAAUACAUGCAAGUCGAGCGAACGGACGAGAAGCUUGCUUUUCUGAUGUUAGCGGCGGACGGGUGAGUAACACGUGGAUAACCUACCUAUAAGACUGGGAUAACUUCGGGAAACCGGAGCUAAUACCGGAUAAUAUUUUGAACCGCAUGGUCCAAAAGUGAAAGACGGUCUUGCUGUCACUUAUAGAUGGAUCCGCGCUGCAUUAGCUAGUUGGUAAGGUAACGGCUUACCAAGGCAACGAUGCAUAGCCGACCUGAGAGGGUGAUCGGCCACACUGGAACUGAGACACGGUCCAGACUCCUACGGGAGGCAGCAGUAGGGAAUCUUCCGCAAUGGGCGAAAGCCUGACGGAGCAACGCCGCGUGAGUGAUGAAGGUCUUCGGAUCGUAAAACUCUGUUAUUAGGGAAGAACAUAUGUGUAAGUAACUGUGCACAUCUUGACGGUACCUAAUCAGAAAGCCACGGCUAACUACGUG